AGGUAAGCGGAAUUCCUAGUGUAGCGGUGAAAUGCGUAGAUAUUAGGAGGAACAUCAGUGGCGAAGGCGGCUUACUGGGCUUUAACUGACGCUGAGGCUCGAAAGCGUGGGGAGCAAACAGGAUUAGAUACCCUGGUAGUCCACGCCGUAAACGAUGAUUACUAGGUGUGGGGGGACUGACCCCUUCCGUGCCGCAGCAAACGCAAUAAGUAAUCCACCUGGGGAGUACGACCGCAAGGUUGAAACUCAAAGGAAUUGACGGGGGCCCGCACAAGCAGUGGAGUAUGUGGUUUAAUUCGACGCAACGCGAAGAACCUUACCAAGUCUUGACAUCCUGCGACGGUGCUGGAAACAGUACUUUCCUUCGGGACGCAGAGACAGGUGGUGCAUGGUUGUCGUCAGCUCGUGUCGUGAGAUGUUGGGUUAAGUCCCGCAACGAGCGCAACCCUUACUGUCAGUUACUACGCAAGAGGACUCUGGCAGGACUGCCGUUGACAAAACGGAGGAAGGUGGGGAUGACGUCAAAUCAUCAUGCCCCUUAUGACCUGGGCCUCACACGUACUACAAUGGCUGUCAACAGAGGGAUGCAAAGCCGCGAGGUGGAGCGAACCCCUAAAAGCAGUCUUAGUUCGGAUUGUAGGCUGCAACCCGCCUACAUGAAGUCGGAAUUGCUAGUAAUCGCAGAUCAGCAUGCUGCGGUGAAUACGUUCCCGGGCCUUGUACACACCGCCCGUCACGCCAUGGGAGUCGGUAACACCCGAAGCCUGUAGUCUAACCGCAAGGAGGACGCAGUCGAAGGUGGGAUUGAUGACUGGGGUGAAGUCGUAACAAGGUAGCCGUAUCGGAAGGUGCGGCUG
rnacentral:rRNA from 1 species